AAACUAAAAGCCAACAAUACUCACCUAAAAACUCAACGCGGCCACCUGCAUCCCAUGGAGUCUAGCUGUUCCCGUCCUAACAGCUUUACUCUGUCGUCGGUGGAGGUCUCCAGUGAUGAUUCAGCAGCCAUGUUCCUGUAAAAUAAUAAUAAUUAAUUUAUAAUUUCCAAUAUUGGUUAAUCUUAUUGUCAAUUUUUAUACUUAUGUCACAUUUUUCUAA